rnacentral:pre_miRNA from 1 species
UUAAAUCAAAUUUGUAUGGAGUUGGAAUGUUCGCUUACGUUUGCCGCUAGGGGCGCUGUUUCAACUGCAACUUUUACGAUA